rnacentral:rRNA from 1 species
UCGAACGGCAGCACGGGGGCAACCCUGGUGGCGAGUGGCGAACGGGUGAGUAACAUAUCGGAACGUGCCCUGGAGUGGGGGAUAACUAGUCGAAAGAUUAGCUAAUACCGCAUACGAUCUACGGAUGAAAGUGGGGGAUCGCAAGACCUCAUGCUCGUGGAGCGGCCGAUAUCUGAUUAGCUAGUUGGUGGGGUAAAGGCCUACCAAGGCAUCGAUCAGUAGCUGGUCUGAGAGGACGACCAGCCACACUGGGACUGAGACACGGCCCAGACUCCUACGGGAGGCAGCAGUGGGGAAUUUUGGACAAUGGGCGCAAGCCUGAUCCAGCAAUGCCGCGUGAGUGAAGAAGGCCUUCGGGUUGUAAAGCUCUUUUGUCAGGGAAGAAACGGUUCGGGUUAAUACCUUGGGCUAAUGACGGUACCUGAAGAAUAAGCACCGGCUAACUACGUGCCAGCAGCCGCGGUAAUACGUAGGGUGCAAGCGUUAAUCGGAAUUACUGGGCGUAAAGCGUGCGCAGGCGGUUGUGCAAGACAGAUGUGAAAUCCCCGGGCUCAACCUGGGAAUUGCAUUUGUGACUGUACGGCUAGAGUGUGUCAGAGGGGGGUAGAAUUCCACGUGUAGCAGUGAAAUGCGUAGAGAUGUGGAGGAAUACCGAUGGCGAANGCAGCCCCCUGGGAUAACACUGACGCUCAUGCACAAAAGCGCGGGGAGCAAACAGGAUUAGAUACCCUGGUAGUCCACGCCCUAAACGAUGUCUACUAGUUGUCGGGUCUUUAUUGACUUGGUAACGCAGCUAACGCGUGAAGUAGACCGCCUGGGGAGUACGGUCGCAAGAUUAAAACUCAAAGGAAUUGACGGGGNNCCGCACAAGCGGUGGAUGAUGUGGAUUAANUUCGAUGCAACGCGAAAAACCUUACCUACCCNUGAC